rnacentral:misc_RNA from 1 species
UCCAGCUUGUCACUGGCAGUUUCUUCAGAGUCCCCAACUUAAUGAUGGUAACUGAAGAUGAGGGUUGCGCUCGUUGCGGGACUUAACCCAACAUCUCACGACACGAGCUGACGACAGCCAUGCAGCACCUGUCUCUGAUCCGGCCGAACCGAAGCUUACAUUACAUAAGCGGCUAUCAGGAUGUCAAGAGCUGGUAAGGUUUUUCGCGUAGCCUCGAAUUAAACCACAUGCUCCACCGCUUGUGCGGGUCCCCGUCAAUUCCUUUGAGUUUUAAUCUUGCGACCGUACUCCCCAGGCGGGGUGCUUAACGCGUUAGCUACGUCACCGAAACUAAAGUUCCGACGACUAGCACCCAUCGUUUAGGGCGUGGACUAC